CCUUCAUCUAUUAUGUAUAUAUUAGCCAAACUAGUUUUCUCUUUCGUCUUCUCCUACCAGUUUAUAUAAGGAGUGUUGGUGUUGGUUACACCUAUAGUUCAGUCUUUAAACUACAGGAUAUCAGAUAGGAUUGUGAUUGAGCUGAAAAAAAAAAAAAAGAAUAUCCAGAGAUGGGUACAGUGAUGUUUGGGUUUUCAUGCCUUGCCUUUUGAGGAAGAGGGUGAGUACAUCUUCAUCAGACUGAGGGAUAGUUGCAACAGGUAGAGUAACUAAGGACAGCUAUGAAAUCUGCAAAGGAAACUAGAAGAGACCAGCAGGACAAAGAGGCAGCAUGAGGAGCCACUGUGAGCUAGUAUGCGUGCUUGCAUUUCAGUAACGGUAGAAUGCCAGCAGAUGUGAAAUGAACAGUGCUACAGCCUUCCAGCAGUCCUAGCACAAGGAAUAGAUAAGCCACUGAGUAUCAGGGUUGUUUGUUAUGCAGCAUUGUUGCAGCAACAGCUGAUGAAUACACUUGACCUAAGGUUUGUAGGAAAAUGACCAAGAGGUCUUUAAAUGUGCUUGCAUGGUUUGUCUUUGUCUUUUGUAUUCCUCUCAUCUCCCAUGAGAUGUCCUAUAGCCACUCAUCCCAGGAGAAUGCAGACACAAGUGGAGCAGAUCUGAAUCCAACUUGCAGCCUGGAAAAGUCCACCCAAUCUCAACUCAGCCCGGCAGAGAUGCAAACUACCAGCAGAACUGUACACAGGAAAUUAAUGUUUGUUUCAAGCUGAUGAGUGUUGGAACUGCCUAGCAUUCACCCUUAUUUCAACCAUAGCUGGUUGAUGGAAAUGACACAGUGCAGAAGGUAAAAUUGAUGAGGAAGAUGAAAAAAAGAGUAAGAUUGCAGAGGUGAAUAUGAGAGGGAAUUGGGUCCACGGCACCAGUUGGCCUCAGCUAAAAGCACUGAGAAUUCACUCAUCUGGACAGGUUGGAAGUUGGCACACAUGAGUACAGAGAUAGAUAUGUUGGUGAAUGAGG
rnacentral:lncRNA from 1 species